rnacentral:lncRNA from 1 species
UGCCGUAGAAAUUUCAAAGAAAGCUACAUCACACAAAUUAUGUGGACCUAUUUUAUUAAAAAAGAAUACUUUAUUGGAUCAAUAAUUGAUCUAGCCAAGUAUAUUUAAGUAGCCAAAAGAAUAGAGAAUGUCAUUCUCAAACAUUAGAUACCAUUAAGUCACAUAAUAGAAUAUGUUAAUUGAUUGACAGUGUAACAGGUGUGCAAACUCUACUAUGUUUUUGAAUCUGUGUGGUUUCUUUAUAACUUUACAUAUGAGGAAUAAGGUUAGGAUGGAAAUCUAGUAUGCAUACAGCGCCUUACAUAGUGUGCUAGGUCGAGCCAAUUUUGCACGAUAAUUUACCUGCUGAUGGAAGACAGUGCAGGAUCCCAGACGUGACAUAUUAACCAUAUAUUCAAUCCAUUGCAUGAUCAAGAAAUCAAGAAAUGUUUGCUUUGUG